rnacentral:lncRNA from 10 species
GUGAUUCUAGUUUCAUGUCACUAGCACAGCAGGCAUUGACUAUGCAGAUAUUAAGAAAUACUUAAUAUAAAAUGUAGUCAGUAUGUGAAGUGUGAUCAGAAUCAGAAGAAAAUAGUAAAUGUUGAGCCAGAUUUAGGAAGACACAGUAUAAACAGUGGACCAUAAAUGGCUACAGUCCAUAUCAAAUAAAGUUAGUAGGGAUGUGCUUUGGAGAGAAUGAAGUGAAUUCAGUAUGAUGGAGCACAGACUAUAUGGUCAAAUCAGCCUAGAUUUAAACCGGGCUCCUAUUCCCUAUCAUCUGCAUUAUCUUGGGUUUGUGAGUCAACUUUAUGGGUCUAUUGGGAGCAGCAGUUCUUCCUGGCCCCUGGAUGUACUGAUUCCGGUGCAGUCCUCUGACCAUAUUGGGAAGGAUAUGUAAAAUGAUACGAGUUUCAGGGAAUAAGAAUGGGGGUGAGAGGAAUCACUGAGGAUGCCCAAGGACAAAGCAGCCGGAACAAGUAAGGACAGAGUGAGAAAACAGCCAUCUGGAAGCUAUGAAGAGAACCCUCACCAGAACCCCAACAUGCUGGCACCCUGAUCUUGGACUUUCAGCUGCCAGAAGUGUGAGAAAAUAAAUUUCUGUUGUUUAAGCCACCCAGUCUAUGCAAUAUUGUUAUGAUCCGAGA